CAGAUAUAUUUAAGGAGGAGAUGCAAGCAGGCUCACAAAGUCUUGUUUUGCAGCAAUGGCUGGAAUGUGGCAUACACGGUCCAAGGCUCAUCUAAGGCAGAAUCAUACAUGAGAAAAAUCCAUUCAUGAAACUAAAUCAUCCUAAAGCAAAUGACACUUCAUGAAUAGAGACUAAAACCAAAGUGUGAAGGACAUUUUCCAAAUCAGUGUGAAAGUAUGCAGAAAUAGCUGGAUCUAAAUUGAAUAAGAAUUGUGUGACAAAUUGAUGAGGUACUGAGGGAAAGCCAAUUAAGACACUGAGGGGCCUAUUCUGAGAGACUGGAUGCCACAGACUGAAUCUAGAAGAAGAUUCUGCAUAAAGAAUAUUUUCUUGGAAGGUUUGGCAAAAGAAAGAGUUCUUUUAAGUGCUUUCCCGUAACUUAUUUUCUGUUCCUUGGAACUUUUCGACUUUUAGUGGUUUGGAAUGACUUGGUUCUGGUGGAUUUCAAUCAAUAUCCCUCCCUUCCUGUACUCCAUGCUUCCCCACAAUCCCCCUGUCUUGGUGGAGUAACAGGUUGAUUCUGAUUUAUCACUAACCUUCUCUAAUUCCUCUGCUGGAGAG
rnacentral:lncRNA from 1 species